AAUGAUUUGGUCCACAUGCACAGGUACACACGCCCGCAGUUAAUAUUCAAAAUAAUUCAAACGAGUUCGAAAUUAUUCCUUAACUAAACCCUCCAAUAAUCAAAUUUUCUGUUUCGACGUGGAAUAAAAUAACGUUACGGCUGAGUUAUGCAAUAAGAUUUUGUGUUUUGGCCGAGUUAUGAGAUACCAUAUGUUAUUAUGAUAUAUCAAACCAGCCACCAAAUUGUUGGUUAUAUUAGUAGCGUGAAGAUGUGCAAUUUGAAAACAGAAAAUAACUUUUAGUUUCAGCAAGUGUCGAUUGACAAAACAUGGUCAGUCAAAACCUCUAGGAAGUAUGUUGUUGGAUAUAGUAUGAUGUUGGACAAAGUAGGCACUUGGAUAAAGUUUAUAGGAUAUGAUCUACUUUCACGGUUCCACUUUUUGGAAUGUGGUUAUGAUAUGUUAAUUACUUGACUUUCACAACUGUUGGCUCAAGAAAAGCACUUUCAGGGUUUGGCCGAGUUAUAACAAAGUGAUGGCUGAGUUAUGCCUUUAUUGUGGCUGAGUUAUUGUUAGAAGAUUUCGAUUGUUCGAACUACAUAAGAGAAAACCAAAUGUUAUUAUGAGAUUUGAAUACAAGAAUUAUUGUUGGUUCGAUCGAUGUCAUCAAAUCAGUCAGAAUAUUGCUGUGUUUUGCUUUUGCUGAGUUUAUCGAGAAACAAUUAUUAUGUUAUUCUCGAGAUUAAAAAAAAAAUGAGUUAAUAGGGAACCGCGAAUAAUGAUUGGUUUUAUAGAUGCACGAACACGUCAAUAUUCAAAAUAAUUCAACCGAGUUCGAAAUUAUUCCUUAACUAAACCCUCCAAUAAUCAAAUUUUCUGUUUCGACGUGGAAUAAAAUAACGUUACGGCUGAGUUAUGCAAUAAGAUUUCGUGUUUUGGCCGAGUUAUGAGAUACCAUAUGUUAUUAUGAUAUAUCAAACCAGCCACCAAAUUGUUGGUUAUAUUAGUAGCGUGAAGAUGUGCAAUUUGAAAACAGAAAAUAACUUUUAGUUUCAGCAAGUGUCGAUUGACAAAACAUGGUCU
rnacentral:sRNA from 1 species